UACGUAGGGUCCGAGCGUUGUCCGGAAUUAUUGGGCGUAAAGGGCUCGUAGGCGGUUCGUCACGUCGGGAGUGAAAACUCGGAGCUUAACUCCGAGCCUGCUUCCGAUACGGGCAGACUAGAGGUAGGCAGGGGAGAGCGGAACUCCUGGUGUAGCGGUGGAAUGCGCAGAUAUCAGGAAGAACACCCGUGGCGAAGGCGGCUUUCUGGGACGGUACUGACGCUGAGACGCGAAAGCGUGGGGAGCGAACAGG
rnacentral:rRNA from 1 species